CUGGGUUUACUGGGUCUCGUACCCGCCACCCGCCCUCUGUCAUGAAUAACAAUCGCUUCGGCCUCGCGGUCGCCCCCCAAAGGCGUCAGCAGGUCGGCAUUGCAACUCUACAGAAUUAUGAAGUCUGAAAUCUAUAAAAACGAAUCA
rnacentral:misc_RNA from 1 species